rnacentral:lncRNA from 1 species
CUACAGGCAGAUAACUCUGUAAAAUUAGCAGAACGUUUUAAUGACAUUGUGUGCAUAAGGGAAUAUUAAGCUUCUCAAUGAUCAAAAUAAGUGUUUGUCAAACUGCUAUAUAACCAGUGUAAUUUUUCUGAUUAAACGGUUGGUUCAAAUAUUUUGAAAUUUUUAUAUUUUUGUCAAAGGGUCAAAGUAAAUACUUUGUCAAAAUUUAAAGGAAAUUAAACGAACC